rnacentral:rRNA from 1 species
UACGUAGGGUCCGAGCGUUGUCCGGAAUUACUGGGCGUAAAGAGCUCGUAGGUGGUUUGUCGCGUUGUUCGUGAAAACUCACAGCUUAACUGUGGGCGUGCGGGCGAUACGGGCAGACUGGAGUUCGGCAGGGGAGACUGGAAUUCCUGGUGUAGCGGUGAAAUGCGCAGAUAUCAGGAGGAACACCCGUGGCGAAGGCGGCUCUCUGGGACGGUACUGACGCUGAGACGCGAAAGCGUGGGGAGCGAACAGG